UGAUUUAUCUAUUAGAAAUUGCACUAGAAAACUUUGGCGGCCCUAGGUCUUGGUGCACGCUCUUUGGCUUCGUUUUCACAAAUGCAGGAAAAUUAAAGCAUUGGUCGCACGGACCCGGAAACACAUAGAGAGAGAGAGAGAGAGAGUGGGAGAGCAAAAGUCCCACUGCGCAAGGCUGGAGAGUAGCAGCCCCCCGUGGCAGGCGCCAAAUGAGGGCGGCGGUUGAAUUAAUUUGAUUCGUCAACCGAUUCACGAAACGGUUCGGAUUCAAAAGAAAAUCAAAAACAAAGCAAUCCUGAAUUAGUAUGUUUCUAAGAAGCAUAAUCAUUAGCAUUUGUAAAAUCAGUUCUUGCCCAAAUUCCGAGAGCUACGCAUCAAUUUUUGUGCUAUCGGUUUUACGAAAACAAACUUUUUUUUUGCAUUUUUCAAAAUUAAUUGAAGCAUGCCGUCCAAGAAGAAAGAUUCGGCCAAGAGCUCCAAAAAGGGGGCCCAAGAGAAAGCCCCCAGUACCGAUCCGGCACUGGCCACCUCCACUGCAUCAGCACCGGAGACGUCACCAGUGAAGCAGUCGAAGGGCUCUAAGAAGGGCAAGGGCACGAAGAAGUAGUGGUGUUCAAAUCAAAAUUAAUCAAGAUCUUCUGUGGGAGAAAAAUUCCCAGAAGAUAUUAUUGAAGACUCAUUAGAAUUACACAAAAGAUGCAAUAAAAACCGAUAUCCAACCGAUUCGCUCUCUUA